GACGAACGCUGGCGGCGUGCUUAACACAUGCAAGUCGAACGAUGAAGCUGGAGCUUGCUCCGGUGGAUUAGUGGCGAACGGGUGAGUAACACGUGAGCAAUCUGCCCUUGACUCUGGGAUAACUGCGGGAAACUGUAGCUAAUACCGGAUACGAAACCUGGAGGCAUCUCCGGGUUUGGAAAGAAUUUCGGUCAAGGAUGAGCUCGCGGCCUAUCAGCUAGUUGGUGAGGUAAUGGCUCACCAAGGCGACGACGGGUAGCCGGCCUGAGAGGGUGACCGGCCACACUGGGACUGAGACACGGCCCAGACUCCUACGGGAGGCAGCAGUGGGGAAUAUUGCACAAUGGGCGAAAGCCUGAUGCAGCAACGCCGCGUGAGGGAUGAAGGCCUUCGGGUUGUAAACCUCUUUUAGCAGGGAAGAAGCGAAAGUGACGGUACCUGCAGAAAAAGCACCGGCUAACUACGUG
rnacentral:rRNA from 1 species